GAUGAACGCUGGCGGCGUGCCUAAUACAUGCAAGUCGAGCGAACAGACGAGGAGCUUGCUCCUCUGACGUUAGCGGCGGACGGGUGAGUAACACGUGGAUAACCUACCUAUAAGACUGGGAUAACUUCGGGAAACCGGAGCUAAUACCGGAUAAUAUAUUGAACCGCAUGGUUCAAUAGUGAAAGACGGUUUUGCUGUCACUUAUAGAUGGAUCCGCGCCGCAUUAGCUAGUUGGUAAGGUAACGGCUUACCAAGGCAACGAUGCGUAGCCGACCUGAGAGGGUGAUCGGCCACACUGGAACUGAGACACGGCCCAGACUCCUACGGGAGGCAGCAGUAGGGAAUCUUCCGCAAUGGGCGAAAGCCUGACGGAGCAACGCCGCGUGAGUGAUGAAGGGCUUCGGAUCGUAAAACUCUGUUAGUAGGGAAGAACAAAUGUGUAAGUAACUAUGCACGUCUUGACGGUACCUAAUCAGAAAGCCACGGCUAACUACGUG
rnacentral:rRNA from 1 species